ACUUGUCUUUGUUGUUUUCCUUUUUCCAUUUCAUCCUCCUGUUCUGGAACCAGAUUUUGACCUGCCUUUCUGUCAAUCCCAGGGCAUGCGAGACCUCGAUCCUCCGUUUGCGGGUCAGCCCCCCUCGCUCCCUCCUCCCCCAGCCCCUGCUCACGUCGAGGACUUGCAGAAGAUGUGUUUGGGGAUGAUUGCAAACUAAAAGUAUUGUUUCGCUUAUCACCUCCCGAGCAGAACCUUUAUGAUUUCUGCUGCUUUCCAUUGCAUCCGUCUCCGCGAUAUUGACUCAAGAAAGGUGAAUAAGAGAGGAUUUCGCUCGUUCCUGCCUUGAACUGAGGGACAAUUCUCAAACAUUCACUUCCACUACAUGGAAAAGAAGGAAAAGUUUCAAUGUUGCAGUUAGUCGGUCUUUCUAUGUCUUCGUUAAAAAAAAAAUACUUAUAUUAAAAUUAACGGUGAGAAUAGGCGUGGAAUUAAAGAAAGAAAGAGAAAAAGAAAGAAAGAGAAAAAGAAAGCUAGCAAAGAUAGUAACGGAAUAAAACUUUAAAACCAUCCUUAGAGAAAUAAUUUAAGUAAAUACGUUUCUUUUAUUUUGUGUAGGGAUGAUUUCAGUCUACUCUAAAAGCCUUUUCAAGUAAUUAUUGUUGUUGGAAUACUUGCAGUGGUAUAAUUAAGGCAUUUCCCCCCUUAAAAGACAAGUUAACAUUUUAUUUUUCCCAACACUUUUAUUGUCGAUUGAGCAGAUUUUGGUUUCAUCUUUGAACAUAAAAACCUAGAAAUGGUGCACAGAAGUAAAUAGAGCUGAACAGCAUGGUAUUAAGAUACCCGAUACUAGAAUUU